rnacentral:rRNA from 1 species
CAAUAGCGUAUAUUAAAGUUGUUGCAGUUAGAACGCUCGUAGUCGGAUUUCGGGGCGUUCCGACCGGUCUGCCGAUGGGUAUGCACUGGCCGGAGUGUCCUUUUUGCCGGAGACCGUGCCUACUCUUAACUGAGCGGGGGCGGGAGACGGCACUUUUACUUUGAAAAAAUCAGAGUGUUUCAAGCAGGCAGCUCGCUCUUGCAUGGAUUAGCAUGGGAUAAUGAAAUAGGACUUUGGUGCUAUUUUGUUGGUUUCGAACACCGAAGUAAUGAUUAAAAGGGACAGUCAGGGGCACUCGUAUUCCGCCGAGAGAGGUGAAAUUCUCAGACCAGCGGAAGACGAACCACUGCGAAAGCAUUUGCCAGGGAUGUUUUCACUGA